rnacentral:rRNA from 1 species
ACGGAAGGCAGCAGUAGGGAAUCUUCCACAAUGGACGCAAGUCUGAUGAAGCAACGCCGCGUGACUGAAGAAGGCCUUCGGGUCGUAGAAUUCUGUUGUUAGAGAAGAACAUGCAGGAGAGUAACUGUUCUUGUAUUGACGGUAUCUAACCAGAAAGCCACGGCUAACUACGUGCCAGCAGCCGCGGUAAUACGUAGGUGGCAAGCGUUGUCCGGAUUUAUUGGGCGUAAAGGGAACGCAGGCGGUUUUUUAAGGCUGAUGUGAAAGCCUUCGGCUCAACCGAAGAAUUGCAUUGGAAACUGGAAGACUUGAGUGCAGAAGAGGAGAGUGGAACUCCAUGUGUAGCGGUGGAAUGCGUAGAUAUAUGGAAGAACACCAGUGGCGAAAGCGGCUCUCUGGUCUGUAACUGACGCUGAGGUUCGAAAGCGUGGGUAGCAAACAGGAUUAGAUACCCUGGUA